CGCCCCUCCCACCCGCGGGCCAGCCCUGCGAGGGCGGGCCAAAGGGAAGGGGCGGGCUUGUUUACGGCCCGACUGCGCAGGCGUGCUCACCUGGCGUGCUCCACCCGGCUGGGCGUCCGCAGGCUCCUCCCCCGGGCGUGGCCUCCGGGAGGCCUGGCUGCUUCCCAGGUGAUGCCGGCUCCAGCUGGUGGGGUCUAGCUGACCGUUCCGCAGCCGCCAGGGCCGACGGAAAGCCGGUCAAGGGGAACCGCGGCGCGGCUGGUGUAAUGAGCCUGAGCUGAACUUGAGGGUGCCCCCUCAGCGGUCUCCCGCCCUGCCCUGAGGGGCGCCGAGACCCCAAAGAGCGGAGGAAGAGCGCCACCCCGACUGCCACCGCUUCGGGGCCAGCACGCGGGGUACCCUACGGGGAGUGCGGAUGCCCCCGUGUUCGGGCGGGGACGGCUCCACCCCUCCUGGGCCCUCCCUUCGGGAUGGGGACUGUCCCGCCCAGAGUGCUGAGUACCCGCGCGACCGUCUGGAUCCCGUGUCAGGAAGCCCCUUUGAAGCCUCCUCGCUGCCGUUUCUGAGAAGCAGGGCACCUGUUAACUGGUACCAAGAAAAGGCCCAAGUGUUUCCCUGGCAUCAGUUGGUGUCUGGAUCCACCACUCCACUCUGUCUCUGGAAACAGCCCUUCCACGUCUCUGCAUUCCCUGUUACCGUGUCACUGGCCUUCAGACAGAGCCAAGGUGCAGGGCAACACCUCUCCGAGGAUCUGCAGCCAUUCAUAUUGCUUAGGCUACUGCCACAGGACAAAAGAAUGAGAGAGGAGAAAGCAGCAGGAGAGAGAAGUGAACCAAAUUUUGAAUGCUGGGAGCAGAUGGACAGGUGGUGACUGACCUUCCCUCAAGCAUCUCUGGAGCCACAGCCCCCAGCCGGCCCUGUCCAGCACGUGGUAAUUUAUUGAACAGGAAUGGGAGUGGGACCAAAGCCACCUACUUCAGAGUUGAGAGGAUUAAGAAACUGCAUGCAAA